GUUCUAUCUGGCGUGAUGCGAUA
rnacentral:siRNA from 1 species